GGGUUGUGAGGUUAAGCGACUAAGCGUACACGGUGGAUGCCCUGGCAGUCAGAGGCGAUGAAGGGCGUGCUAAUCUGCGAUAAGCGCCGGUAAGGUGAUAUGAACCGUUAUAACCGGCGAUACCCGAAUGGGGAAACCCAGUGUGAUUCGUCACACUAUCAUUAACUGAAUCCAUAGGUUAAUGAGGCGAACCGGGGGAACUGAAACAUCUAAGUACCCCGAGGAAAAGAAAUCAACCGAGAUUCCCCCAGUAGCGGCGAGCGAACGGGGAGGAGCCCAGAGCCUGAAUCAGCAUGUGUGUUAGUGGAAGCGUCUGGAAAGGUGCGCGAUACAGGGUGACAGCCCCGUACACAAAAGCGCAUGUGCUGUGAGCUCGAUGAGUAGGGCGGGACACGUGAUAUCCUGUCUGAAUAUGGGGGGACCAUCCUCCAAGGCUAAAUACUCCUGACUGACCGAUAGUGAACCAGUACCGUGAGGGAAAGGCGAAAAGAACCCCGGCGAGGGGAGUGAAAAAGAACCUGAAACCGUGUACGUACAAGCAGUGGGAGCACAGGUUUACCUGUGUGACUGCGUACCUUUUGUAUAAUGGGUCAGCGACUUAUAUUCUGUAGCAAGGUUAACCGUAUAGGGGAGCCGUAGGGAAACCGAGUCUUAACCGGGCGUUAAGUUGCAGGGUAUAGACCCGAAACCCGGUGAUCUAGCCAUGGGCAGGUUGAAGGUUGGGUAACACUAACUGGAGGACCGAACCGACUAAUGUUGAAAAAUUAGCGGAUGACCUGUGGCUGGGGGUGAAAGGCCAAUCAAACCGGGAGAUAGCUGGUUCUCCCCGAAAGCUAUUUAGGUAGCGCCUCGUGAAUUCAUCUCCGGGGGUAGAGCACUGUUUCGGCUAGGGGGCCAUCCCGGCUUACCAACCCGAUGCAAACUGCGAAUACCGGAGAAUGUUAUCACGGGAGACACACGGCGGGUGCUAACGUCCGUCGUGAAGAGGGAAACAACCCAGACCGCCAGCUAAGGUCCCAAAGUCAUGGUUAAGUGGGAAACGAUGUGGGAAGGCCCAGACAGCCAGGAUGUUGGCUUAGAAGCAGCCAUCAUUUAAAGAAAGCGUAAUAGCUCACUGGUCGAGUCGGCCUGCGCGGAAGAUGUAACGGGGCUAAACCAUGCACCGAAGCUGCGGCAGCGAACGUAUCACCCAAGACAACUUUACGGAGUUGACGAUUGACGGAGCGAAGCGACGUCAAAGCGUUCAUUAAAGUCGAGUUGGCUUAGGGAUACGUUCGUUGGGUAGGGGAGCGUUCUGUAAGCCUGUGAAGGUGUGUCGUGAGGCAUGCUGGAGGUAUCAGAAGUGCGAAUGCUGACAUAAGUAACGAUAAAGCGGGUGAAAAGCCCGCUCGCCGGAAGACCAAGGGUUCCUGUCCAACGUUAAUCGGGGCAGGGUGAGUCGACCCCUAAGGCGAGG
rnacentral:rRNA from 1 species